rnacentral:rRNA from 1 species
GCGAGCUUGCCUAGAUGAUUUUAGUGCUUGCACUAAAUGAAACUAGAUACAAGCGAGCGGCGGACGGGUGAGUAACACGUGGGUAACCUGCCCAAGAGACUGGGAUAACACCUGGAAACAGAUGCUAAUACCGGAUAACAACACUAGACGCAUGUCUAGAGUUUGAAAGAUGGUUCUGCUAUCACUCUUGGAUGGACCUGCGGUGCAUUAGCUAGUUGGUAAGGUAACGGCUUACCAAGGCAAUGAUGCAUAGCCGAGUUGAGAGACUGAUCGGCCACAUUGGGACUGAGACACGGCCCAAACUCCUACGGGAGGCAGCAGUAGGGAAUCUUCCACAAUGGACGAAAGUCUGAUGGAGCAACGCCGCGUGAGUGAAGAAGGGUUUCGGCUCGUAAAGCUCUGUUGGUAGUGAAGAAAGAUAGAGGUAGUAACUGGCCUUUAUUUGACGGUAAUUACUUAGAAAGUCACGGCUAACUACGUGCCAGCAGCCGCGGUAAUACGUAGGUGGCAAGCGUUGUCCGGAUUUAUUGGGCGUAAAGCGAGUGCAGGCGGUUCAAUAAGUCUGAUGUGAAAGCCUUCGGCUCAACCGGAGAAUUGCAUCAGAAACUGUUGAACUUGAGUGCAGAAGAGGAGAGUGGAACUCCAUGU